rnacentral:misc_RNA from 1 species
UUUCCGUAGGUGAACCUGCGGAAGGAUCAUUCAUAAUAAGUGUUUUAUGGAACUUCUUUAAAUCAAUAUUACCUUGUGUGCAAUGUCAGGGUUGAUUUUUCUUUCGAGAGGAUCAGCCCCAAACAUCAACUAUAUCUCAUCUCUUUGUCUGUAAAAUAUUAUGAAUAAAACAAUACAAAAUACAACUUUCAACAACGGAUCUCUUGGCUCUC